UGUUUGAAUUAGCUGUGAUGUGCUUUAGUUUGAAGUUCUUAUCACAGCUAUUUUGAUCAUU
rnacentral:pre_miRNA from 1 species